CACGGGGGAAGCAAGCGUUGUUCGGAAUCACUGGGCGUAAAGGGCGUCUAGGCGGUCAAGUAAGUGGAAUGUGAAAGCCCCCGGCUCACCCGGGACUCGUGCAUCCCAAACUGCUUGGCUUGAGUACGGGAGAGGAUAGGGGAAUUCCUGGUGUAGCGGUGAAAUGCGUAGAUAUCAGGAGGAACACCGGUGGCGAAGGCGCCUAUCUGGCCCGACUACUGACGCUGAAGCGCGAAAGCUAGGGGAGCAAACGGG
rnacentral:rRNA from 1 species